UGAGCCCAUCGCUGUGUUCUUCUGUCUGC
rnacentral:piRNA from 1 species